AACGAACGCUGGCGGCAUGCCUAACACAUGCAAGUCGAACGAUGCCUUCGGGCAUAGUGGCGCACGGGUGCGUAACGCGUGGGAAUCUGCCUUUCGGUUCGGAAUAACUCAGGGAAACUUGGGCUAAUACCGGAUAACGUCGCAAGACCAAAGAUUUAUCACCGAAAGAUGAGCCCGCGUAGGAUUAGCUAGUUGGUGAGGUAAAGGCUCACCAAGGCGACGACCCUUAGCUGGUCUGAGAGGAUGAUCAGCCACACUGGGACUGAGACACGGCCCAGACUCCUACGGGAGGCAGCAGUGGGGAAUAUUGGACAAUGGGCGAAAGCCUGAUCCAGCAAUGCCGCGUGAGUGAUGAAGGCCUUAGGGUUGUAAAGCUCUUUUACCCGGGAAGAUAAUGACGGUACCGGGAGAAUAAGCCCCGGCUAACUCCGUG
rnacentral:rRNA from 1 species